AAAGUUUUGGAGAGAAAGUGACUGCAUGUUGGCAAUGAAGUACACCAGUGUUUCGUAGUUUUUGAAAUCUGAAUUCUUUAAAUGAUAGGUUUGAUUUCUAAUGGAUUGUGGAAAUUUAUUGUCACUCUAUAGACAUGAGAAUCUCUGAUACCAGCUAAUGUUUUCAUUUCUUUCUUUGUUGAUUUCAAAUAGAUCAGAGGUUGGAUUUAUGCAAACCUGGGCCAAAGGACAGUUAGAAGACGACGGAGUUUCACUCUUGUCGCCCA
rnacentral:lncRNA from 10 species